rnacentral:rRNA from 1 species
UCUGCAACUCGACUACAUGAAGCUGGAAUCGCUAGUAAUCGCGGAUCAGAAUGCCGCGGUGAAUACGUUCCCGGGUCUUGUACACACCGCCCGUCACACCAUGGGAGUCGGAAAUGCCCGAAGUCUGUGACCGAACCGAAAGGAAGGAGCAGCCGAAGGCAGGUCGGAUGACUGGGGUGAAGUCGUAACAAGGUAAC